GAGAGAGACAUGCGCGCAUAUCAAUAAGCGGAGGAAAAGAAACUAACAAGGAUUCCCCUAGUAACGGCGAGUGAAGCGGGAAGAGCUCAAAUUUGAAAUCUUAAAGGGUUUCCCUUUACGAAUUGUAGUUUAAAGAAGUGUUUUCUGUUGAGGUUUUGGUAAAAGUUCUUUGGAAUAGGACAUCAUAGAGGGUGAGAAUCCCGUAUUUGACCUUUACUUUCAACUUUGUGAUACACUUUCAAAGAGUCGGAUUGUUUGGGAAUGCAGUCCAAAAUGGGUGGUAAAUUUCAUCUAAAGCUAAAUAUUGGCGAGAGACCGAUAGCGAACAAGUACCGUGAGGGAAAGAUGAAAAGAACUUUGAAAAGAGAGUUAAACAGUACGUGAAAUUGUCAAAAGGGAAGCGUUUGACACCAGUGUUGUUUUUCUGAAAAUCAAUUAAAGAACUGUUUAUGCUAAGUUGUUUAGACUUUAUCAGCUAACUGUUUAGUUUUGAGCUUUUCUUUAAUGCACUUUUCAGUUAACAAGUCAACAUCAAUUUCUUUUGCUGUAAAAAAGCUUGAGGAAGGUGGCUUGAGAUUCGUCUUAAGUGUUUAUAGCCUCUUGCCUAUGCAGUCGGAGAGAUUGAGGUCUGCAGCGUAGAUCCUUCGGGGCUAAAUGUAUUUGUGCUAAGUUAUAACAUUUUAUAGACAACUUGUUGACUAUGAUUUGUCUUGUAGCUUACUCGCUUAUGCUAUUUUACCUACGCUUAGGAUGUUGAUGUGAUACUGCGAGCA
rnacentral:rRNA from 1 species